UCUCUGGUGGCUCAGUGGUAAAGAAUCUGCCUACAAUGCAGAAGGUACAGGUUCAAUCCCUGGGUGAAGAA
rnacentral:tRNA from 1 species